rnacentral:rRNA from 1 species
UACGGAGGAUGCGAGCGUUAUCCGGAUUUAUUGGGUUUAAAGGGUGCGUAGGCGGACGCUUAAGUCAGCGGUAAAAUUGCGGGGCUCAACCUCGUCGAGCCGUUGAAACUGGGUGUCUUGAGUGGGCGAGAAGUACGUGGAAUGCGUGGUGUAGCGGUGAAAUGCAUAGAUAUCACGCAAAACUCCGAUUGCGAAGGCAGCGUACCGGCGCCCAACUGACGCUGAAGCACGAAGGCGUGGGUAUCGAACAGG